rnacentral:rRNA from 1 species
AUUGAACGCUGGCGGCAUGCUUUACACAUGCAAGUCGAACGGUAACAGGCCGCAAGGUGCUGUCGAGUGGCGGCCGGGGGGGUAAUACAUCGGAACGUGCCCAGUCGUGGUGGAUAACUACUCGAAAGAGUAGCUAAUACCGCAUACGAUCUAUGGAUUAAAGCGGGGGAGCGUAAGGACUCGCGCGAUUGGUGCGGCCGAUGUCAGAUUAGGUCGGUGGUGGGGUAACGGCUCGCCAAGCCAACGAUCUGUAGCGGGUCUGAGGGGAGGAGCAGCCACACUGGGACUGAGACACGGCCCAGGCACUUAGGGGAGGCAGCAGUGGGUAAUUGUGGAAAAUGGGCGGAAGCCUGAUCCAGCAAUGCCGGGCGGAGGAAGAAGGCCUGCGGGUUGUAAACUGGUUUUGUACGGAACGAAACGGCUCUGGUUAAUAGCCGGGGCUAAUGACGGUACCGUAAGAAUAAGCACGGGUAAACUACGU